UAUGAGAUCUUUGUACAGAGCUGCUUGAAGAUAUCUAUGUGGUAGAUUUCAAAUAGAAGGUGUUUCUAUGUUGCAUCUUUCAGUGGGAGCUAUUUGACUAUUUUUGUAAUCAAAAUAAUUUUGAAAGUCUUUAUACAAAUCCGAUAGGAUUGCAAGACCUAGACGGUGGGCUAGAUAAGUCUAUUUUUCUCUUUGUUAAUCAAGACACAUUCUAUUAUUUAUCUUGAUAUUGAUCUUAUGAUUGGUGUUGAUGGAGAAUUGAUAUUUUUUUUGACUAGAUAUAUUUUUGGAUAUAUUAAAGGAGAUGAUAGUCUAUUAUUGUGAUUCAAUUGAAGUUUUAUUGAGGAGAUUAUUUUAAGCUCUAUUAAUUAAUUGUCUAAAAUACUAUUAAA
rnacentral:lncRNA from 1 species